CAAGGGGUGGCACUGCAGCAUUAAGAGGUGGCACAUCUAAAAUUCAAGGGGUGGCACUGCAGCAUUAAGAGGUGACACGUCUAAAAUUCAAGGGGUGGCACUGCAGCAUUAAGAGGUGGCACAUCUAAAAUUCAGGGGUGGCACUGCAGCAUUAAGAGGUGGCACAUCUAAAAUUCAGGGGGUGGCACUGCAGCAUUAAGAGGUGACACGUCUAAAAUUCAAGGGGUGGCACUGCAGCAUUAAGAGGUGGCACGUCUAAAAUUCAGGGGGUG